GUUGGAAACACCAGACCCACACGCAGCAGCUGGGUCGAGUGGAAGUCGGCUCUGCAGUGUGUUACCUGGAGUGUGUCGUGCUUGGGGGCCCCCCACAUCAGCAGAUCAGAUGGUGCCCCCCCACCUACCCACGUGGAGGGCUGACCUUCCGAAUCUCAUCCACUCGGGCUCGUAUACGAAUCUCCUCUGGAAACACUCUCAGAGACACACCCCAAAAUAACGCUUUACCAGGUUUCUAGGUAUUCUUUAAUCCAGUCAAAUUGCCACCUAAAAUUAACUAUCAACACGUGAAUAUAUGAUUGUUAAAAUAAAACAAAACUCCAAAUUCAGAAGUAUAUAUAUAAAAAAGAAAGUCCCUGUUGACACCCCCAGAUCACGCCCUUCACCCGAGUGACCAAGUUCAGAAGCUUCUGGCACGUCUUUCUAGAACUUCCUCUCGGUUCUCCUGUGGGCAUGUCCGGGAGCCACGUUUAGUUCAGGUGCAUUGCCCACAUCGUUGUGCGGUGUUGUUUUUUUCAUACUGAGCCCUAAGUAAGUCCUGGAGGUCUCUCCACGUCGAUACCUACAGCCGUCCUGCGUUCUCUGUAUUCCAGAAAGGAGGUGCACCCCUCUGUUUAGCCAUGCCUCUGUUCAAGAGUUUUGUUAUUUCAGAGUGACAUUGAAACUGCACCUGUGGUUUUAUGUGAGCACGUGUGAGCAUAUCUAUAGAACAGAUUACUAGAAACACAUCUGCUGAGUUACAGAAUGUACAUUUUAGUAUUUUAAAUAGAUAGGGCCAAAUUGUCCUCCAAAAGACAAAGUCGAGUGAAACACCUGCUUACUUAUGCUCUUGUCAAAAGAUGAUCGUACGUCUAAAUUUUGCCAGCCUGAGGGGUGAGAGGUGCUAUCUCCUCAGUGUUUUGAUCUGUCCUCCCUGCUGACUGGGAAGUUGAACAUCUUUUCCUAAAUUUACCAGCUACUUUUAUGUUUUUGUGUGGUCUGUCUAUUCAAGUCCAUUGCUAUUUUUUUACAUUCAUUGUUGGUGUUUUAUGUAUUGAUUUUUGAGGAGCUCUUUAUGGAUUAAGAAUCAGGCUCCUUGCCUGGGAUCUAUGUUGCAAAGAUCCUUCCUUCCUCUGUUCACUUACGAAGUGCCAGUACGUAUGCGUUCCGACACACACGGGUCUGUUUCUAGACUCUUAUUCUCUGGUCUUUUGCAUAUAUCUGGGCCAAGGCCGCACUGUUUUAAGUGACAUAGAUUUAUAGAACAUAUAUUUCUUAUUUUUCAAAAUUUCUUAGCUGUCCUUUAAAAUGUUCUUCAUACAAUUGUUGGAUUCAUCCUGUCAAAUCCCAUAAGUAGUAGAUAAGAAUGGCCCUGAGUUUAUAGAUUAGUUCUGGGGAGAACUAAUUUUUUUCUCAAAAUUGACUUUUGACAUCCCAGAAUUCUAUGUAUUCCAAAUAAAUCCCUUUAUUUUAGUUUUUAAAUUCCUUUUCGGUAAAGUUUUACAAUUUUCAUCUUCUAGGCCUUUUUACAUUUUUUGGUCUCUUUUCAUGUUUUAAAAAUUUGGGCUAUUAUGAGCAGUACUGCUGGCAACAUAUUUUCAUUGGUCAUUACUGUGUGUAGAUUUAUUGAAUGUUAAUCUUUUACUAAACAGCAUCACUAAAUUAUCUACGUAGUUCUAAUAGUUUCUCAGUUGAUCACUGCUGUGGAGUGACUGUCCCCCCAUCGCACUGAAGCUUGACCCCGAUUGUAACAGUGCUAAGCAGGUGGGAAAUCCAACUGUGAUAUUUGAAAGAGGUGAUUCUGUAGAUUGUGAAGACACAGUUUUCUUCUUAGCAUGCAUUUCUCUGAGUUCCCUCUUUCCCGUGGUAAUUUGAUAGUUUGAACUUUGGUUACAGGACAAGAUGACAUUAUUUAUAAAAAUGUAAAGUUGCUCUCUAGUCGGCCUGGAGCUGCAGACUUGCCAUGAAACACCUACUGUCCAGACCCUGAGAAACCAAGGAAGACAUCAGUAAAGCUGUGCUGACUCCACCCCAGAUCAGGACCCUGAGACAACACUGAGGACGGAAACAGAAACCAGGGGUAGCCUUGGCAAGACCUUGCACCUGGCUCCUCGCACGGAGCCCCCACAGCUCACGUCCCUCUUCCUGCUUCUCGUUCCCCACAUUCUCUUCCCUCAGUCUCCUCUUUAAAACCCCUCAGAAGAUCUGAGUCUUUGAGAUGGUUGUGGUCUGGCCAUCCUCUUGCAGGCCCACUGGAGAGGUGGGUUAGCCUCACAUCUCUCCUCAGGUCACUGAUAACCCUGAAUAAAAGCUGACGUCCUACUCCACUAA